rnacentral:rRNA from 1 species
UACGUAGGGGGCAAGCGUUGUCCGGAAUCAUUGGGCGUAAAGAGCGUGUAGGCGGCUCGGUAAGUCCGCUGUGAAAGUCCAGGGCUCAACCCUGGAAUACCGGUGGAAACUGUCGAGCUAGAGUCCGGAAGAGGCGAGUGGAAUUCCUGGUGUAGCGGUGAAAUGCGCAGAUAUCAGGAGGAACACCAAUGGCGAAGGCAGCUCGCUGGGACGGUACUGACGCUGAGGUGCGAAAGCGUGGGGAGCAAACAGG